rnacentral:rRNA from 1 species
CCUACGGGAGGCAGCAGUGAGGAAUAUUGGUCAAUGGGCGCGAGCCUGAACCAGUCAAGUAGCGUGAAGGAUGACUGCCCUACGGGUUGUAAGCUUCUUUUAUAAAGGAAUCAAGUGAGGCACGAGUGCCUUUUUGUGUGUACUUUAUGAAUAAGGAUCGGCUAACUCCGUUCCAGGAGCCGCGGUAAUACGGAGGAUCCGAGCGUUAUCCGGAUUUGUUGGGUUUAAAGGGAGCGUAGGUGGGGUUGUAAGUCCGUUGUGAAAGGUUGGGGGUCAACCGUAAAAUUGCAAUUGAUACUGGUAGUCUUGAGUACGGUUGAGGUAGGCGGAAUUCGUGGUGUAGCGGGGAAAUGCGUAGAUAUCACGAAGAACUCCGAUUGCGAAGGCAGCUUACUAAACUGCCACUGACAUUGAUGCUCGAAAGUGUGGGUAUCAAACAGGAUUAGAUACCCGUGUAGUC